UGGUAAGGUAACGGCUUACCAAGGCGACGAUCAGUAGCCGACCUGAGAGGGUGAUCGGCCACAUUGGAACUGAGACACGGUCCAAACUCCUACGGGAGGCAGCAGUGGGGAAUAUUGCACAAUGGGCGAAAGCCUGAUGCAGCAACGCCGCGUGAGCGAUGAAGGCCUUCGGGUCGUAAAGCUCUGUCCUCAAGGAAGAUAAUGACGGUACUUGAGGAGGAAGCCCCGGCUAACUACGUGCCAGCAGCCGCGGUAAUACGUAGGGGGCUAGCGUUAUCCGGAAUUACUGGGCGUAAAGGGUGCGUAGGUGGUUUCUUAAGUCAGAGGUGAAAGGCUACGGCUCAACCGUAGUAAGCCUUUGAAACUGGGAAACUUGAGUGCAGGAGAGGAGAGUGGAAUUCCUAGUGUAGCGGUGAAAUGCGUAGAUAUUAGGAGGAACACCAGUUGCGAAGGCGGCUCUCUGGACUGUGACUGACACUGAGGCACGAAAGCGUGGGGAGCAAACAGGAUUAGAUACCCUGGUAGUCCACGCCGUAAACGAUGAGUACUAGCUGUCGGAGGUUACCCCCUUCGGUGGCGCAGCUAA
rnacentral:rRNA from 1 species